CAGCAUCCUGUAAUCAAACGUACUCAUAUUUCUGUAGUGAGAUGUAUAGAGUGCAUAAAUAAAGUAGCCGCAUGUAACUCAAGACAGGUUUCUCUAGCAAAUGAGUUUAUUUCAGAUCAGGUUUUGCUGCCAAAUGAGUUAUACAUUUUGGCAUUCGGAACUUUGAAGGUUUUGAAAUUAUAUUCUCCCUGUUUCUUCAGAUGAAGACACUGAGGCACAGGGAGGUGAAACAGUGUCCCACAUUCGUUAACUCACGGGAGGUGAGGCUGGGCCACCAACCCGGGCAACCUGGCUCCAGACUCCAAGCUCUUCACAGCCACCUGGCUGUGCCCCUCGGUGCUGCCCACUUCUCGAGCAGGGCCUGACCCAUCCGUAGAAUACGGAUCAUGCCAACCUUGCAGCCUUGCUCUGAGGACCAGAUACAAUAAAGAUGUCUGAUGUGUGUUAAGUCCGAGAAUCAUGACCACAAACAAGGCUGGAGAAUGCUUCUGCUUUGUAAUAGCUCUCAUGGGUCAUGUCUAAGGAAAAGGUCCUGAGGCCAGAAGGCAGAGGUCCAGGUCUGGCUCAGCCAUUAUCCAAGAAACCCCGGGACCUUCGGCCUCCCUGGAACUCAGCGUCCUCCGCUGCAGCAUGGAGGUCAUCCUGUCUCCUCUGCCUGCCUCUCUGCAUGGUGAUGAGAACGUGACACGAGAAUGGAUGUAACAAUUUUCUGAGAAUUUCAAAGACCGUGCCAAAGUUCAUGCUUAGGAACCAAAGCCAGGUUUACCUACUUCCCCAGCUAAAGAAAUAUCCAUCCUGGUAGGCCAGGCGCUGCCAAGUGCUGGCCUCCUUGGAGUUCAAUCGCCUGUCUGGUCAGCAGACAUUCCUGCAUCACAGGUGGCAAGGGACAAGUGAAGUCGCAGAAGACUGGCUGACAGAUAGUUGUCAAAGCCACCGAGAGCAGAAGCAGUAUGGUCUUCUCCCCAGAGCACUGUGCUCCUCUACGCCUCCUUGAGCCGCGUCCAGAGAGCACUUGGCGCCCUGUCUGUCUAGAACAGGUCCAGGGAGGAGGUAAGUCGUGCAGCCAGCCAGGGACCAGGAGAGCCUGGGCAGGACCCUCACCUCCUGACUUCCGAGAGCUGCCUCCGCCCCCUGCGCCUCUCCAGGGACUGAUGGAUGAGGCCGUGAUGGGCGUGCUUGGCCUCCUGCUGUCUCUUGUUGCUCAGGUAACUGAGUGAGAUGAAACAGAAACAAGCCACGUGACCUUGCUGCCUCCACCCAUGCGUCCAGACAGCCCCUGUCUCAGCCAGAGUCACAGUCAGGCCAGUGGAUCCGGGCUGGGCGUGGUUUUGGGGUCAGGGACCCCCUCCCCGAGGAGAAACGCCUGAGCUGGGUGGCCGCCGAUAUUCUCUGAACGCUGUUCUUGAGCAGACAAGAUGUUGAAGCGGGGGUGGGUUGGGGGGCAGAGGUUGAGGGAUCAGAAUGAUUUGAGUGUGCGGCUGCCAGUGUGUCACAUAGCUGGAAUUGUGCGAGGCCUAGGAUCUAGCUGCCUGUCCUUGGUUUACUCAGGGAAUCUAUAGAACGAGAGGGCAGAGGGCAUGGCCUCUAACCCUCACCUUUGAAAUCUGUGUCUCUAGCUUUCCCGCUUGCCCCCGGGAUGGGCCCUCCCAAGCUUUCA